ACUGGCUGACGAGUCCCAAAUAGGACGAAAUGCUCAUCCUGGAU
rnacentral:hammerhead_ribozyme from 1 species